CGCCCGGCACCUGCGGCUGAGCCUCGGGGACGCCUCCCGGGGCUGGGGAAGGGGACGCGGAGGACGCUGUGAGCAGAGCCCUAAGUGCAGUGGGCCUGGGGCCUGGGCUCCGCCUGCUGACCCUGAGGUGCCCCAGCCUGGCCUGUGCAGGAUCGGGGGCCUGGGCUCCGUCUGCCGACACUGAGGUGUCCCAGCCUGGCCUGUGCAGGAUCGGGGGCCUGGGCUCCGUUUGCUGACCCUGAGGUGCCCCAGCCUGGCCUGUGCAGGAUCGGGGGCCUGGGCUCCGCCUGCCGACCCUGAGGUGCCCCAGCCUGGCCUGUGCAGGAUUGGGGAGGCCAGGAGGGUACAGAGGAAGGAGGAGGGCACUCUGCCUGGCUCUCACUUCAGGUGAGGAGACACCGUCCCGGGUCUGGAGCCACACAGGGACAGGGCUGGCCCAGAAACACAGAGACCGCUGUGGGAGCAGGGGGCUGCAGCGGCCACUGCAGAGGUGGGCUGGGCUGCACUUGCAGGUUGCAGCCAAGCUGGGGAGAGUGGCUGCCUGGCGAGGGCAGAUGGCCACAGCGGGGGCGGGCAGGGGCAGCUGGCGCCGCGGAGGGUUCCAGCUGCAGCAGCCGGGCGGAAGAGGCUGCGGUUUUGUGAGCACCUGUGAGUGGCGGGCUAGGGGACGUGCUCAUCAGGCAUCUCAGGAGACGUGAACCUGGAGUUAGGGGAGGUGUGCAGCAGGUACUUGGUGCUGUGUGGCUGCAGCACCCUGUCCCAGGGAGGGGCGAGUGGGUGUGGGGGCAGAGAAGAGGGGUGAGUGUGGCACCCCUGCACUUGGUGUAGGGAGAGAUCUGGGGUGCAGCACAGGUGACACACUCCAGGCGCCACUGGACUGUUCAGGGAGGACACGUUAAGGUGGGGGUGGCAUUGGCUGCUUUCAGCCAACAGCCAGAGCAGGGAGAGGAUACCAGGCGCUGGGGCGUGUCUGCAGGGCUCGGCCUUCAAUCCGAAUUCCCCUCCCGAGCUCCAGGCUUCCGUGUAGCUGCUACCUGUUACUUUGUCCACACACAAGGACCCAGGUCUCCUUUCCAUGCCUCUCUUUCGCAAAGACCAGCUUAGAGGCCCAGCUGCGAGGCAGGGAGCCUCCCCUGGGAGCUCAGUGGUUCUGGUGGAACUGGGUGACUGUAAGGAAGGCUCCUUGGUGGUGUCACAUUUUCUGUGUUCAUAUCUCAACCGGCUGUUGUGACCCGUCAGGUCAAGGCCCAGACUAAUUCCACGAUACGGAACACAAGCAGUUACCACCCAGGCCUCCUGACCCUCAGGAGGGGUGGGUGAGCUGCAGAGGGGCCACGGCCUGGGGCUAGAGCAUACUGUUUCUCCUGUGCAC